GGCAAAACUGCUGGUGCAUAUACCCUUUCUGCAGAAAGUAUACAAAUGGCCUUGCUGAGGAAAUUAAAUUUAUGUUCAAGUGCUAUUUCUUUAUGGCACCAGGGAACAGCAUUUCAAACACAGCCAUACCUUGGCCAAUGAGUGGCUAAAUCUAUUACAUGGAGUUAGCUUCUGAAGAAAGGAGGGAAGAAAAGGAAGAGCAUGAAGAUAGAAUAAAGGCGUAUAUCUAUAUCACAAAACUGGGAUGAUGCAACCGUGAAUAUUUCUGUGGGCUAUGCUACUAUUUCCCUCACUACAUACAGAAAGCCUGUCUGUUAUAGGAAGAAAACCCACCAGUAGAAAUGAAACCAAAUAUAAGAGGAAAGAUGAACUGGAGCAAUAAAGCAAGAAAAAAUAUUGUUCUUUAAAUCCAUAGCAUUUUUAAAGACAUUCCCAUUCUCUUGGACUUCUUAGUUACGUGCUUGAUUCAAUAAAUUCCCUUUAUAAAAUUGGUUUAUUUGCAUUUCUGUCAUUUGCAAUAGAACAAUGUCUUCAUCAUACAACAUAGCCCACUUAAGCAAAAACAGAAUUCACAUUUUUACUGCAAGUCUUGAAGAUUGUUUUGAAGAUUCAGUCACUAUUGUCACAUGAUGUUCUUAAUGACAUAAAUGAAUUUAGAUCAUCUCUUUACAGUAUAGUAGUGUUCAACUGGAAGGUUCUAUUGCAGUAAUCAUAAAACACAUUUUGCCACUGUUAGGAUCUAGGCAAGCAUCCCUUGCCUUUCUGCAUGAAUUAUUAUAUGACAAGAUUCUGAAAUGUUACAAGAGAAAAAUGUGAUUUCACUUUCACAUACUCCUUGAAUUUGGUGGCUUAUAGGAAUAAUUUCUGAGUUUUGAAAUAGUAAGACAAAUAUCCUCUCUUCCAAAUGUGAAACAGUACAAAGUUUAGAAAAAUUGUUUUAAAUCAGUGGAAUAGUUGAGUGUGUUGAAUACUGGCCCACAAAAGGUAUUUUCACACAGCACCUCAAAAUGUGACCUUAUUUGGAAUAAGGGUCUUUACAGAUGCUUUAAUGUAAGGAUCUAGAGAUGAAAUCAUCCUGGAUUACAGUGGACCCUACACCCAGUGACAGGUGUACUUAUAAAAGACAGAAAAAGAGGGGACAGAGACAGAAGAAGGUCAUGUGAAGUCAGAAGCAGAGACUGGAGUGAAGCAGCUACAAACCAAGGACUGUCGAGAACUGCUGGGAGCCACCAGAAGCCAGGAAGAAGCAAGGAACGAUUCUUCCCUAAAGUCUUCUGAGGGAGUACAGCCCUGUCAACACCUUGAUUUCAGAUUUCUAGCCUCCAGCACUGUGAGAGAACACAUUUCUGUCAUUUUAAGCUAACAAGUUUGUAGUAAUUUGUUAUGACAACCCUAGGAAACCAAUACAUAUAGAAAUGUAUAUUUCCUGUAGUUAAUUUGAAUGUUCUUUCUCUUGGUUUCCUGGUGGUUAUCAAGGUCAGGUUUUAACAAUAUUCUUAGAAAAUCUCCCAUAAUACAUUGUGCCAUGUGUGAAAGUUUCUGGGAGUUUUGACCUGUUUUUUCCUGGAUUAUUAUUUUUUAUUAAAUCAUUACCCUGUGAGAGCAUGGACCCACCUGUGUGCUGCUACUAAACUGUAUUUUUCAACUAUAUUGUUAUAACUGGCUUUUUCAAGCUCUAUAUUGAAACAAGAUGUCUGCUAAUUAUCAAUUCAUACUGCCAUUCAGAAAGUACCUGUUAAGUCUUAUUGAUAACAAUUCCAUAAACAAUUUCUUUUUCUGCUUCAGAUCAGGUUUGUUUUGGAGUAUCUGUGAGUUUUUAAAUUCUAUUUCCUGCAUGAAAAUCUCAUGACUCCUUUGCUCACUGUGAUGUUCACUGGUUUCAGUUUCCUAAUAU
rnacentral:lncRNA from 10 species